GCUGUAAAGUAACAAAAAUGUGGAAAAAGUCAAGGGGUCUGAAUACUUUGCUGAAUGCACAGUACUUGCAUUCUGAGUAGAUCAUUUAUCACGACUGCAUCUGAGUCAUAUCCUGACACGGGAGGCGGAUGUAGUUAUCAAGAUUAUUUAUUCGAAACAGGCAAAGGGCAGGUUGAGGGCAGGCAGAGGUUCGUGAUCAGGUCCGAGUCAGGCAGGUACAGGAAGGCAGGCAGGCUCGGGGUCAGGCAGGCAGAAUGGUCAGAACCGGGAAAAACUAGGAAACAGAACUAGAGAAACAGGAAGGCAGUAUUUUAAUACAAUGGUAUUAAAACAUCCCCAAGCCUGUUUGACUUCUACUUCCUUUAUUAAGAAGCGUUUAAAUAAUAUUUACAUGUUAAAUAACAUUUAACUGGUUUUCCUCACGGUUUUAUUUAUAUACAGUAUAUCCAAUGAAUAGACAAACAUCAAAUGGUGGUCCAGAGCUCAACAUCAUGCCAUAAUAUGGUUAUAAGGCUGUUAGCUGUACAAUCUGUCCUUGCGUAAUGCUCAUCUAUACACACCGAGUAAUAAACUCACAUUAUGACGUCAUCACACAUCCUCUUUCUGUAUUUUUUCUCUAAAGGGAGCAGUGAAUCCAUUUCUUCUUUUCUCUCCUAGCUUCAAGCACGCAUUCACUCUUACACACUGUAUGGAGGGAAACGUUAGGACGAUUCUACGGGCCUGUGACUGACAGGGGCCCUAAAAUUAUUAGGACCUUUGGUUAAUAAUUUUGUAUAAUUUUUUUUUAACCUAUCAUUAAUAUAAUAUUUUUAUUUACAAUGUACUAAUAAAACUAACGGUUUAUUUUUAUUUUCUUGUUUUUGGCAAAAAGGAAACAUCCAGAGAGCCUCUUUUGCCCAACCCCCCUCCUAAUGGUUCGGUCCUGCCCCCAAACCAGGCGCGGAACGGUACUUGCUAGCAGUGAAUUGCGAGUGAGGAGUGCCGGUGGAGCAUCAUGUCUCAACUUCCCAUAGAAAAAUCUGGCUUCCAAAAACGAAAAGGAGACAGGAGAGAGAAAAGGGCGACAGUAUGUCACUCAGUUUUUGACAAAGGAAGGCCCAACAGAUGCAGUAUCAGGCUUGGUAGCCCUUUCCCCUCAUCUCCAUACCUCUGAACCAGCCCUACUCCCAACUGAAGAAGGAGAGCAGCAUUGUGUUUAAUGACAUGUCAGUUUGCAUAAUUGCAGGUACUGCAAUGAAUUGAGGACAGGAAUGUGAUUCUCCAGUCAGGAAAAAUCUCAUUUGACACAGAGCCUUAAAGGAAGAGAUGCAGGCUCUUAGAGAUGGAUGAGUCUCUCCUGUUUUAGGCGGCACUGAUUGCUAUGCAAAUGGGUGUUGCACCUCAAUUUAGCAAGGAACACAGCCGCCAAAGGAAAAGGAAGAGAUUCCAUGAUGAGACAUCUCAGGAGACGGCUCAGGACAGUGCAGCAACGGUGUUUCGGAACACAGUGUUUUUUACUGCUAUGGACAACAUAAGUGACUUCGACACUAGGUAGAAAAAUGUUCUGCUGUCCUGAAAGUUGAGCUGAUUAGUGAGGAUAAAGUCCUUUCUGUGUGCCAACCACUGAUCAUGAAAUAUUCCAGACAUCUUACACCUGAGUUUCAAAAUGAAGUAAGACACCUGAACACUAUAUAUGCUGCCACUUUCCCACCUAACGUGUCCCCUCUUGGUCUCCUGCAUGCAAUUUGUAAGAUGCAGCUGCAAAGCGUUUUUGGAGAGGUGUGCAUUGCUUUACGUAUAUUUUGCACACUGCCUGUGACUGGUGGCGAGAGAGCUUUCAGUAAGCUAAAACUGUUUUUUUAAUGUUUUUUUUAUAGUUGAGGUCCACUAUGUCCCAGGACAGGCUUUGCAGUCUUGCCAUGCUGUCCAUUGAAAGUCAGUUAGCUAGAAAGCUGGACUUCAAAGACCUGAUCGUGACUUUGCUAGCAAGAAGGCUCGGCCCUGGGCUCUUGGUGAGUAAGGCUGAGCAAGGGCCAGUGACAACUGUUAAACAACAUGGCUAUUGGAUCACUACACACGAUGUCCACAGGCUGAGAACAAGACUGAAAAUAAGAGAUCUGAAAGUAAUGGAUGGAUUGCCAUAAAAAUGUAUUGUGCACAAUCAAGACCAAGUGGAAGAAACCUAUUGAUUUGGUGACCACUUGACCUUUCCUCUAGCGCCACCAUUAGGCCUUUUCAUUUCCAUUUUUACGGCUGCUUAUUUUCUAGUUCUAGAUUUUAUUAUAUCAUUCUAUAGUUGUUCAUUUAUUUUAAUUGAAGAGGUUAAUGUAUAUUUAAGUUAUUUAUUUUAAGUUAUUCAUUAAUGUUAAUAGAAUUUUCCAUUCAAGAAUUUUACCAUUAAUUACAUUUAGACUCUAAAAGAUGGCCUUUAGCACAUUUCUUAGAGGGUAUCAGUCUUGAAUCAAAUAGUGAAUUUGACUGUAUGCAGAAUGUUGCAUGCAUGUCUGCACAGUGUUAUAUUUUCACAGCUCACUGUCAGUAAAUAUCGUAAAUAUUGGACUACAAGAGAGUUGCAAGCCUGCAAAGGUAGUUAUUUUUUUUACAUAAAAGCACUGGAAUCUUCUACUGUCUUUUUUUUUUCAUGUGUGAAGUCUAAUGAAAGGGACAUGAUUUACUUUUAUUUUGUUGAUAAGAUGUGUGGUGGAAAAUUCAGCAGAGUCAUUACUUUUUUCGCCCCGUGCCUUUUGCUCCCUCAAGUUAGCUACCUGGAUAAUGGCGGGUGGAAGACAGGGUGGUGCGGCAGGUGCCGCUUCUCAUACGAAUGCUGUUAUUUCAUCUAAAACAUCAGGUGUACGCCGACCCCAGCUAAGUAACUCAUGCAAAGAGUUAAAGCACAAUUAUGUGUUUUAUCUCCAGUACUUUGCCAUGAUUGUCAAUGAUAAUCUCAGUGCGUCCUUGCUGGGAUGACACAAUAAAUCUACUACUGCCGGAGAAUACCAACACCAAACACAUUGGUUCACCGUUCCACGGGAGCGGACAGUACACAGCAUACCAUAAUGUUCUGAAUAAUGGCCAAGUCUACCUCGCUCCCUAUUCCACUGAACCGCUUAGGCGUAACAAACACAAGUCCAACAUUUAUCGGAAACUGUUAAACUACCUGUUCACUACCCUCCUGCUCUCCGGGGAUGUGCAACUCAGUCCUGGGCCUAACAUCACCGAGCCAGCGAUGCUCACUGGAGUGGAAAGCAGUGGAUGGCCUCGUCCACUGAUCGUCGCCGCUGUAAAAGUGGGUGAGUGCUAUGGUCCCAUGGUUUCUCUCAACUCACCCGGCUCCAGGAUAGAUUUUUACUCUUCAAACAUACUCAAGUAGCUAAAUGCGAUCCCUGACUCUGCUUCUGGUACGCAAGCUGUUUUAAUUAGUUCCCCGCAUCCAGUGCAGGCGGAAGGGAUUGUUAAUUGCGCUACCGAACUGCCCCUAAUCAAAACGGCCUAAACCCAGCCAUCAGAAAACACAGAAAAUUAAACUUUUUUCAAUGUGUCUCGAGUCAUCUGGGACCCACGAGCUAAGCCCAAGGGGGGCACUUGAACAUUCGUAGUGUCAUUCCAAAAAGUUAUCAAAUUCAACAUCUACUCACAGACUCCAACCUUGACUUCCUCUGCCUCUCAGAGACAUGGCUCCAUAAAAACUCUCCAUAUGCUACUUUAAUUGUGCCUGGCCACAAUGUUUUCAGGAGAGACAGGGUUGAAGGAAGAGGGGGGGGGGGGUGAUGAUUUACAUUAAAGAACAUAUCCGAUGUAAACAAAUUGAGUGGUCAUGUGAUAAUGAACUAGAAUGUAUUGGCCUGAACGUUACAUUCUCUCCCCAAAUGUCUUUUACCCUUAUUGGAAUGUAUAGGCCACCUUCCACCAAAAGUGUGUUUUUUGAUCAGUUUAAUAACAUGCUUAGGGAAUGUGAUUUGGGGAAAGAGGUCAUCUUAAUGGGAGAUUUUAAUAUUAAUUAUGAAGACAAGUCUUGUAGGAAAACCAUUCAACGGAUCAUUAAUACCAUUGACCUUACACAGCUAGUUAAAGGGCCAACCAGGGUGACUUGUUGCUCUAAAACACAGAUUGAUUUAGUGUUCAGUAAUAAACCAGAGAGAGUGGCUAAAUCAUUCAAUAUGGUUACUGGGCUAUCUGAUCAUAAUCUGACACUUAUAGCCAGAAAGCUGUCUAAGAGCAGGUUUAACCUCUCUACUCUUAGAAAGCCGGAUCAACUAAGAAUACAUAAGAGUGAAUUAAACUAUUUUGAAAACGCAAUUAAGGGAAUUAACUGGAAUGAUCUCUUGUCCUAUACAGACGUGGAAGCUGAUAGUCAGGUUUUUCUAUCCACAAUCCAGACUACAAUAAAUGGUUUCCUGAAGAAAAUCAAAUCCUAACCAGGCCAAGAGCACUCUUCCUUGGCUAAAUGGAGAAAUCUGGAAAUUGAUGAAAGAACGAGAUUAUGCUCUAAAAAUAGCCCUAAGAUCCAAAUUAGAGCAUGACAGACGUAGGUUUACCAUGUUGAGAAAUAAGGUGAUGAAAGAAAUCAGACAGGCCAAGGCAGACUUUUUUAUUAACAUAAUUGCUGAAGCAAAAGGAAAUUCUAAAUUUAUCUGUGGAGAAUCUAAAAAAGUUUACAGGGAAAGACCAUAGUAACACUGCAAAAAGACUAGAAAUCAUGGCGAAUAACAAUCUAACACAGGAUGCAGUCGAAAUAGCAAUAGCCUUCAAUUCCUACUUUAUUGACUCUGUCAGGGUAAUGACACAGAACCCCUCCACUGGUUUCUUGGGCUCAGUGCUAGUGAAUGACGCUCAACCUGUCUUCAUCAUAAGGGAGGUUUCUGAGUCAAAGGUGAACAAGGUGAUUAGCUCACUAAAGAACUCUAAAGCCAAAGAUGUGUUUGGGCUGGACUCUACCUUUCUUAACAACUACAAAGAGUCACUCAUUGGCCCCAUUACUAAGGUCACCAACACAUCUAUUGGUCUGGGGGUGUUUCCAAGGGUAUGGAAGUCGGCCAAAAUAACGGCCAUCUUUGAAUCGGGCGACCCUGCUGACGUGAGUAACUACAGGCCCAUUAGUAUACUACCUGUGGUGUCAAAGGUUGUUAAAGUGUGUAGCAGAACAACUGAUUGCCCACCUCAACAACAGCCCCAUUCACAUUACACUCCAUGCAGUUUGGCUUCAGAGCGAAACACUCCACAGAAACGGCCAAUUGCUUUCUUAUGGAAAAUGUGAAGUCCAAGAUGGACAAAGGGGGCGUUGUUGGGGCUGUGUUUCUGGACCUAAGGAAGGCUUUUGAUAAUGUUAACCAUGAGAUUCUCAUCACAAAAUUGUCCAAGUUCAACUUUUCCCCCGAUGCCUUGAGAUGGAUGAAAUCAUACCUUGAAGGCAGAACUCAAGUGUGUCAGAGUGAGCAAUGAGCUGUCGCCCACUCUUAGCUAUGAUGUGGGUGUGCCCCAAGGGUUAAUUCUGGGGCCCCUCCUGUUCAGCCUGUACAUUAAUGAUCUGCCUUCUGUCUGUACUGGGUCUGAAGUUCAAAUGUAUGCAGAUGAUACAGUGAUAUGUGCAUGCAAAGAGCAAACAAGCUGCAAAAUAACUCACUACUGUAAUGGUCCAGGUUACAAAGUGGCUCAGUGACUCAUGUUUGCAUCUCAAUGUGAAAAAAACUGUUUGCAUGUUCUUCACAAAUAGGGCAACAGAUGCUACUGAGCCAGAUGUCUAUGUGUCAGGGGAGAAGCUCCAGGUGGUAUCUGAUUUUAAGUACCUUGGCAUCAUACUUGAUUCCAACCUCUCUUUUUAAAAGCAUGUGAAAAGGUCAUUCAAAUAACCAAAUUCAACCUAGCUAAUUUCCGAUUUAUACGAAAUUGUUUGACUACAGAGGUAGCAAAAGUGUACUUCAAAUCUAUGAUACUCCCCCACUUAACAUACUGCUUGACUAGUUGGGCCCAAGCUUGCUGUACAACAUUAAAACCUAUUCAGUGUCUACAAACAGGCUCUCAAAGUGCUUGAUAGGAAUCCCAAUAGCCAUCAUCAAUGUUACAUCCUCAGAAAGCAUGAGCUCCUGAGUUGGGAAAAUCUUGUGCAAUACACCGACGCAUGUCUUGUAUUCAAGAUCCUAAAUGGCCUGGCUCCCCCUCCACUCAGUAUAUUUGUUAAACAGAAAACCCAAACAUAUGGCAGCAGAUCCACAAGGUCUGCCAUGAUAGGUGACUGUAUAGUUCCCUUAAGGAAAAGCACCUUUAGUAAAUCCGCUUUCUCUGUGAGAGCUUCCCAUGUCUGGAAUACACUGCCAUCAGACACACAUAACUGCACCAGAUAUCACACUUUCACAAAAUGCAUGAAGACAUGGCUAAAGGUCAAUCAGAUUUGUGAACAUAAUCCCUAGCUGUGUAUUGCCACUUUCCAUGUUGUCGGUAGCUUGUGAGGUGUGGAAACACUUUGUUGCUUUUAUGAAUUUUGUCUUGCUGCUUUUUGUUCUAUGUUGCUCUGUCUGUAUGCUAUGUCUUGCCCUAUGUUGCUCUGCGUGUGCUCACUGCUCAAUGAUUGUCUAUAUUGUAAUUGUUUUUAAUAACCUGCCCAUGGACUGCGGUUAUAAAUUAGCCAGCUGGCUAAAACCGACACUUUUACUGAAACGUUGUUUAAUGUGCACUGUCCUUGUAAAAAAUAAAAUAAACUCAAACUCAAACUUCAAUCAUUUAGAGCUAUUACUAGUUGAAUUCAAGGCAGGUGGUUUUUCACAAUGUUCAUGGGGUUAAUGACCUUUUGUUUGUAUGGUGCCAUAAUUUUCUUGAUCUCAGUGAUUGCCUAUCCUGGGUUGAGUCCCUGUGAAAUUAAAAUAAGAGGUAAAUAAAAGUAGCCCAACGCGUAGCAAAUAAGAAACAAUACAGAGAGGGAUUGGUGAUGACUACUUCUGAGCUGCAGGAGUUGUAUAAAAUCCACUGUGCUGAACUCUACACUAGCCUAAUUACUGUCUUAUUACAGAUGCAGUGUAUUCAGAUAGUGAGUGUACCUUGGGCCAGGUCUUAAUCCAGAUCAUGGUACGACAUCCAGUGCUUAAUUUGAACCAGAUCCGGCACAUCUCAGAUUUGACUUUGUUUGUUCCGGCACCUAUUUGCCCGCAUCCAGUACCUCUCGCGGCAUGAUUUAUUAAUUGUUUCACUGUUCGCACUGUAGACAUUCUAAUAAAAGAGAUCAGCGUUAAA